rnacentral:rRNA from 1 species
UACGUAGGGUGCGAGCGUUAAUCGGAAUUACUGGGCGUAAAGCGUGCGCAGGCGGUUUUGUAAGCCAGAUGUGAAAUCCCCGGGCUUAACCUGGGAACUGCAUUUGUGACUGCAUAGCUAGAGUACGGUAGAGGGGAUGGAAUUCCGCGUGUAGCAGUGAAAUGCGUAGAUAUGCGGAGGAACACCGAUGGCGAAGGCAAUCCCCUGGACCUGUACUGACGCUCAUGCACGAAAGCGUGGGGAGCAAACAGG